GUGCUUGCCUCGGCAGCACAUACACUAAAAUUGGAAUGAUAUAGAGAAGAUUAGCAUGGCCCCUGUGCAAGGAUGACACGCAAAUUCAUAAAGCGUUCCACAUUUUU
ensembl:snRNA U6 U6 spliceosomal RNA